GACGAACGCUGGCGGCGUGCCUAAUACAUGCAAGUCGAACGCAGUGGGGACUGGUGAGUAACACGUUGGUAACCUCCCAUCAGAGGGGAUAACACUUGGAAACAGGUGCUAAACCGAUAUUGAUGGUUGGUCCCGCGGUGCAUUAGCUAGUUGGUGAGGUAACGGCUCACCAAGGCCAAGAUGCAUAGCCGACCUGAGAGGGUGAUCGGACACACGGGGACUGAGACACGGCACAGACUCCUACGGGAGGCAGCAGUAGGGAAUCUUCGACAAUGGGCGAAAGUCUGACCGAGCAACGCCGCGUGAGUGAAGAAGGUUUUCGGAUCGUAAAACACUGUUGUUAGAGAAGCGGUAACUAACGAAGAAGCAACGGCUAACUACGUGCCAGCAGCCGCGGUAAUAC
rnacentral:rRNA from 1 species